rnacentral:rRNA from 1 species
UACGUAGGGUGCAAGCGUUAAUCGGAAUUACUGGGCGUAAAGCGUGCGCAGGCGGUUUUGUAAGUCUGACGUGAAAUCCCCGGGCUCAACCUGGGAAUUGCGUUGGAGACUGCAAGGCUGGAGUCUGGCAGAGGGGGGUAGAAUUCCACGUGUAGCAGUGAAAUGCGUAGAGAUGUGGAGGAGCACCGAUGGCGAAGGCAGCCCCCUGGGUCAAGACUGACGCUCAUGCACGAAAGCGUGGGGAGCAAACAGG